rnacentral:rRNA from 1 species
GUGGGGAAUCUUCCGCAAUGGACGAAAGUCUGACGGAGCAACGCCGCGUGAGUGAUGAAGGUCUUCGGAUUGUAAAGCUCUGUUAAUCGGGACGAAAGAGCCUAGUGUGAAUAAUGCUAGGAAGUGACGGUACCGGUAUAGAAAGCCACGGCUAACUACGUGCCAACAGCCGCGGUAAUACGUAGGUGGCAAGCGUUGUCCGGAAUUAUUGGGCGUAAAGCGCGCGCAGGCGGAUCUGCCAGUCUGUCUUAAAAGUUCGGGGCUUAACCCCGUGAUGGGAUGGAAACUACAGAUCUAGAGUAUCGGAGAGGAAAGUGGAAUUCCUAGUGUAGCGGUGAAAUGCGUAGAUAUUAGGAAGAACACCAGUGGCGAAGGCGACUUUCUGGACGAAAACUGACGCUGAGGCGCGAAAGCCAGGGGAGCGAACGGGAUUAGAAACCCCUGUAGUCC